GAUUAACGCUGGCGGCGCGCCUAACACAUGCAAGUCGAACGAGGUAGCAAUACCUAGUGGCAGACGGGUGAGUAACGCGUGGUCAACCUACCGUUGAGUGGGGGAUAACUAGCCGAAAGGUUAGCUAAUACCGCAUACGUCUCCGAGUGGCAUCACUUGGCGAUAAAAGGAGCAAUCCGCUCGAUGACGGGACCGCGUCCCAUUAGCUAGAUGGUGGGGUAACGCCUACCAUGGCACCGAUGGGUAGCUGGUUUGAGAGAGCGACCAGCCACACUGGGACUGAGAAACGGCCCAGACUCCUACGGGAGGCAGCAGUGAGGAAUUUUCCGCAAUGGCGCAAGCCUGACGGAGCGACGCCGCGUGUGGGAAGAAGGCCUCGGUCGUAA
rnacentral:rRNA from 1 species